AAGUCGUAACAAGGUUUCCGUAGGUGAACCUGCGGAAGGAUCAUUAAAAACUUUUAUCCGGGAAUUCGUUUCGUCUUCCCGGAUUAUUUGUAUUCAAAUCCCACUCUUUAUAAAUAUAUCAAUUAUAUAAAACAAAAAAUAAAAAAGAAAACUUUCAACAACGGAUCUCUUGGCUCUC
rnacentral:misc_RNA from 1 species